UGAAGAAAAGAAAAAAAACCAAAAACAAAGUUUUCUUUAAGCUGUAACCCAGGCGUAACUGAGAAGAAAUUGCCAUACAUAUUUAAAGAUAAUAGCUUCUGUUUCUGAAAUGUCUCCUCUGCCCCAGACACUGUUUACUUCGUUACCGAUUUCAUAUCAUUUAUCCUUCAUGAGUACUUUGCAAGGGAGGUGUCGGUAAAGUCCUUCAACAGAUUUAAAUAUGAGUCUCAGACAAGUUUAUAAACUUGCUGUGGGAAACCUAGCUGCUCAAUGAAGGGGCUGAAAAAUCCAUUCCAGUUCUGACUGCAGUCUUUUGUAACAACACCUUGUCUAAAGACCACCAGAAUCAAUUCUAGCAGCUUUCAAAUGCGUGUACUUAAAAAAAAGAAAGAAUUUCCAACAGACAUAUAAAAUGCCAGAAUUAAAGUUCCUUCGCCAUUUCAGCUGCCACCAUCCCCUCUCCCCAAAACCCCAGUAGACAUCAACAGAAUCCAGAAACUACAGGGUCCACUGGCAUGGCAGGGCCUGUAGGAUUCUUUUCCAAUGUGUACAGAUUGGCUGAUGCCUGGACUAUGCCAGUUCACUGUUUUAAAGAUUACUCUUGAUUGUCACAAUUAAAAACAAAGAAUAUUUAGAACCAAAUUAUAUGUGUUGCACAUUAAACAAAACGUUUUAUAAUA
rnacentral:lncRNA from 1 species